rnacentral:rRNA from 1 species
AUUGAACGCUGGCGGCAGGCCUAACACAUGCAAGUCGAGCGGAUGAAGGGAGCUUGCUCCUGGAUUCAGCGGCGGACGGGUGAGUAAUGCCUAGGAAUCUGCCUGGUAGUGGGGGAUAACGUCCGGAAACGGGCGCUAAUACCGCAUACGUCCUGAGGGAGAAAGUGGGGGAUCUUCGGACCUCACGCUAUCAGAUGAGCCUAGGUCGGUUUAGCUAGUUGGUGGGGUAAAGGCCUACCAAGGCGACGAUCCGUAACUGGUCUGAGAGGAUGAUCAGUCACACUGGAACUGAGACACGGUCCAGACUCCUACGGGAGGCAGCAGUGGGGAAUAUUGGACAAUGGGCGAAAGCCUGAUCCAGCCAUGCCGCGUGUGUGAAGAAGGUCUUCGGAUUAUAAAGCACUUUAAGUUGGGAGGAAGGGCAGUAAGUUAAUACCUUGCUGUUUUGACGUUACCAACAGAAUAAGCACCGGCUAACUUCGUG